rnacentral:lncRNA from 1 species
GUUAUCCUAACUGAGCUAAGACAGUGAAUCUUUACUCUGAUUAAAUGACAGGAAUUGUGAAGAACUGAGUUUAAAUGUAUUGGUUAAGGUGUAUGUAAACUUCCGACUUCCGAUUUCUGAGCUAUGUAAACAUAUGGGCUAUGAGAAGAAAGGAUUACAACUUUAAUUAAUGCUGUGAUUCGAGGGGUUGGUGUGCACUGGAUAGUUGGCAGCAGUUUAGAGGGGCCCCUUGGUAUCUCACAACUUGCAACUCACAUGGGAUGUCUGGUCAGAACCCAACAACCACAAUGGUCACUAGCUGGACAGAUUCCUCUCGAAAGGGGAGCCCUGUAGAUGAACUGCCUGCCGUGUCUUUGGCUGUAUAGGCGACCAUACAGUGACUCAAGAGAAGAAUGAAUUACACGUGUGAAACCAUGAGUCUUUAUACAUUCAAAGUGGAAUAUAAUGAGAUGUUUCUCCCAAUCUAAUGAUAUUAAAAUCCAAUAAAAGGCCCUCGUAAAAAAAAUCCAGAGAGGUCAACUCAUUCGGUUUGCUGUCAUUUCUUGCUGGUGGGGCUCGGGUGUUUGGAGUCAAAAUAUCCCCUGAGAUCAGACAUACAUAGCUGAG